rnacentral:lncRNA from 1 species
CCAAUUUGGGGUCACCUGGGCACAGCUGGGCACACCUGGGCACACCUGGGCACUGCUGAACUCACCUGGGCACACCUGGGCACACCUGGGCACUGCUGAACUCACCUGGGCACACCUGGGGUGGAUUUUUGGGGUUUUUUUGGGGUUUUUUUGGGGUCUCUGAAGAACUUUUGGGGAUUCUUUGGGGUCUGUCACUGCCUGGAACUGCUGCACUGACUCACCUGGGCACCCCUGGCACACCUGGGCACCCCUGGCACACCUGAACUCACCUGGCUGCCGCUGCCGCUGCUGCUGCUGCAUUAAACUCAUCCCUGAGAGACCCCGGGAGUGGUUUUGGGGUUUGGGGGUUUAGGGGGGCCCCAAAAUUCACCUGAGAGGUCCCAAACUCACCUGAGGGGGCACCUGGGAAAUCCCAAACUCACCUGGGGGACCCCAAAACUCACCUG